rnacentral:rRNA from 1 species
CGCCAGACUCCUACGGGAGGCAGCAGUGGGUCCUCUUGCACAAUUUUGGUCACCUUGAUGCCGCCACGCCGCGUGGGUGAAGAAGUCCUCCGGUAUGUAACUCCCUAUCGGCAGGGACGAAGCAAGACGGUACCUGACUAAGAAGCCCCGGCUAACUACGUGCCAGCAGCCGCGGUAAUACGUAGGGGGCGAGCGUUAUCCGGAUUCACUGGGUGUAAAGGGAGCGUAGACGGCCAUGCAAGCCAGGGGUGAAAGCCCGGGGCCCAACCCCGGGACUGCCCUCGGAACUGCAUGGCUGGAGGGCGGGAGGGGCAGGCGGAAUUCCUGGGGGAGCGGUGAAAGGCGGAGAUAUCAGGAGGAACACCGGCGGCGAAGGCGGCCUGCGGGACCGCGACUGACGUUGAGGCUCGAAAGCGUGGGGAGCGAACAGGAUUAGAUACCCUAGUA